GGGACACGCGAGUUCCUCCUUUAAGGGAGGAAGUACUACUCCCUUUUUUUUAGAGUGUGGUACAUGCUUGUUCUUAGUUGCUGGAGCGAUUUCUGUGGUUAACUCCGAUAACGAACGAGACUCUAGCCUAUUAAAUAGGUGCGUGGUUCUCUGCACCUUGCACCCUUCUCAGACGGACAAGCGGCUCCUAGCCGCACGAAACAGAGCAAUAACAGGACUGUGAUGCCUUUAGAUGUCCGGGCGACACGCGCGCUACACUGAAGGAAGCAGCGUGUUUUUAUCCCUGUUUGUUAAGAUAGUAAGCUUAGUAAAAAGUGGCUUGAGCAAAUGCAGAGGGCUAAUUGAAGCCCAUCGGAUUACCCCCGAGCAAGUGUUCGUCUGUUUAAAUAACAGG
rnacentral:ncRNA from 1 species